UUUUUGACAUGCUUUGCAUGGCAGGCUCCCUGCACGUAUGUGCGGCCAACUGUCAUGGGGCUGUCUGUUCACUGUCCCGUUGAUUAGCAUUUUUGCUCGUUGGGGUCUCGCUGUGGGUUUGGCUGUGUGGAUCUACCCUUGUUGGUAGCACGAUUGUCCCGUUGUUGCCUGUUUAGCCUGCUAUGUGGAUGCUAUGCAUCGACAGGCGGCCGAUGUGUCAUCAAAUUCCAUGUGUCUCAAAGCGCUUGCGCUUUGGAAGUGCAUUUGGAUAUUUGUUGUGUCCCAUGGAUAUUGUGCCUGUCGGGAGGUCCAUCGGCUUCGUGCUUGUGGACCGAUGAGGUCGCCUUUGCACGGAUCAUUGCUGCGGAUGAAACUUCUCGGACAUGCUGUCGGUUUGGCGCAUGCUGGGUGACAUCAUAUCGCAUUCUCUGGUUAUGUGCGGGGGCGGGUGCCUCAUUGACCGAAUGACUUGCGAUUGCUGGUUUGCAUCGUCGUAAGG
rnacentral:misc_RNA from 1 species